rnacentral:lncRNA from 1 species
AUGGCUGCUGGGAUGAAGAUGGCAGGGGGAAGAGAUGGGGAGAAGAGGUGUGUUGGAGUGAUUUUGAUAAAAUCUAGAGAUGAGGGAUAUAGGUCCAGACACCUACUGGCCCCCAUUGAAAGGGAUGAUCUGAGGGCUGCCUCCCUGGCAUACAGUCUUUGCAUGUACAUCUACCAGCUUAUCUCCCAGACAGGGGCCCUGAAAUGCUGUCCUUAUGCACCUGGGGUCAGAAGACAACAAGGCUGUUCACCUGCUGGCUGUGACAUAAGUCUACGCCUUUGGUCUACCUUCUCUGAUGAGGAUAGUCCUAUUGCAUUUUCUUGGAAAAGUUGGCUGCUUGAACUACUGCUCUGUUCCAGGUUUCAUUGGCUCCAUUUUCUCAACUGUUCCCAGAAAAACACUAUCAACUGUAGAGAGAGAACAGUUUGUACUACUGGAAUGCUUGGGGGCUUCCUGAUGCUGCUUGGACUUGCAUUUGAAGUCAUUAUUUGUCUGAGCGUUCAUGCUGGGACUCUGGGAAGACCCCCAUGAACAGAGAGCUCCCGACCUUCUGUUGCCAUUGCAGUCUCCCUGCCCUUCUUCUGAGGCAAAUGACUAUUAGUGGGGAAUAGUCACUAGUGUGCCUGAGUUACCUGGCCCUAAGGAGGCCAAGGGGCAACUGAAUGAGUGGGUUGAGUCUUUCCUGCCUUUGACCCUGGACAUGGAGGCUUUGGCCUCAGCAGAGACUGAGCACCUUUGUAUUUGUGACCUGGACCACACAGGUGAGAGUACAGCUGCCAUCAGGGCACAUGAAACCAGGAGCCAACAAUGAAAAAUAAUAUCUCCUCUCAGGGACUUGCUUUAAUUUUUUUUUUUUAAUUUUUUAUUUAUUUAUGAUAGUCACAGAGAGAGAGAGAGAGGCAGAGACACAGGCGGAGGGAGAAGCAGGCUCCAUGCACCGGGAGCCUGAUGUGGUAUUCGAUCCCGGGUCUCCAGGAUCGCGCCCUGGGCCAAAGGCAGGCGCCAAACCGCUGCGCCACCCAGGGAUCCCAGGGACUUGCUUUAGAGAGAGGAAGACACAACAAAACAAACAGCUGUUGCAAGGCAACUUGAAUUUUUAAAAAACUUGCAUAUUGAAGGAGAUUUAAAUAUAGCACAAAAAGACUUUCUGAAGCUAAAAAUCAUAAAUUCCUAACCAAAUACAAUUCAAGAGAUUAACUAAGGGAGAGGAAGAUCACCAGGCGAUCUGAAUUAGCAUCCUAGGAAAAUUGAAGGCAAGAAAUAUCUUGACAUAGAGCAAAGAUAAGAAGAGAUAGAACACAAGUGGGAAAGGAUAAGAAGCUUGGAAGAUAGAUCCUAAAACUGUGGACUGUGAGUAGUGGGAGCAGAAAGAGGGAAAGGAGCAACAGAGGAGGGACAACUAUUAUACUAACAAUAACAGGAGACUUCUCUGAACUGAAGCAAACUUGGGCCUGUUUCUUUCUUUUUAAAAAUUUUAAUAGAUUUUAUUUUUUGGAAUAGUUUUAGGUUUACAGCAAAAUUGAACAGAUGGCACAGAGAGUUCCCAGAGACUCACUCCCUACCACCCCAGAACUUCCCUGACCAUCAACAUGCCCCAUUAAGUGUUCGAACCUACACUGAUCUUAUCAUCAACCAAAGUCCAUAGUUCACAUUGGGCUUCACUUGUGCUGUGCGUUCCGUGAGUUUGGACAAAUGCACAAUGACUCAUAUCCAUCAUUACAGUAUCAUAUAGAGUAGCUUCAUUGCCCUACAAAUCCCCUGUAUUCCAUCUUUUCAUCCUCUACCAACUCCUGGUACUUUUUACUGCCUCGAUAGUUUUGCCUUCUCCAAAAUAUCAUAUAGUUGGAAUUAUAUAGUCUGUAGCUUUUUCAGAUUGUUUUUUUUUUCACUUAGUAACAUGCAUUUAAGGUUCUUCUAUGUUUUUUCAUGGCUCAGUGUCUCCUGUCUUUUAAUUCCUGAAUAAUAUUCCAUUGCCUGGACAUACCAUGUUUGUAUAUCUCUUCACCUACCUGAGCAACAUCUUAGUUGUUUCCAAGUUUUGACAAUUAUGAACAAACUUACAUAGAUAUCUGAAUGUGGGUUUUUUAAAUGAGGAGAUAAGUUUUCAGUUCACUUGGGUAGAUAUUAAGGAGUGCAAUUGCUAGAUUGUAUGUAUGAUAAGAGUAUGCUUAGUUUUGGAAGAAAUUGCCAAAGGGUCUUCCAAAGUGGUUGCACUGUGUUGCAUGCUCACCAGCAGUGAAUGAGAGUUUCUGUUGCUCCAUAUCCUCGUCAGCAUUUAUUGUUGUCAGUGUUCCAGAUUUUGACCAUUCUAGUAGGUGUGUAGUGGUAUCUCAUCAUUGUUUUAAGUUGUAUCUCUCUAAUGACAUGCAAUGUGGAGCAUUUUUUCAUAUGCAUGUUUGCCACUUUUUUUUUUAAAAAGAUUUAUUUACUUAUUCAUGAGAGACACAGAGAGAGAGAGAGAGAGAGAGAAAGGCAGAGACAUAGGCAGAGGGAGAAGCAGGUUCCCUGCAGGGAGCCCGAAACAGGACUCGAUCCCAGGACCCUGGGAUCCCACCCUGAGCCAAAGGCAGACACUCAGCCUCUGAGCCACCCAGGUGUCCCAGCUUGUUUGCCAUUUGUAUAAUCUUCUUUGGUGAAAUAUCUUUUCAGAUCUUUGGCCUAUUUUAUUUAUUUAUUUUUCACUUGACCUAUUUUAAAAUUGAGUUGUUUGUUUUCUUAGUGGUGAGUUUGAAAUUUCUUUGUAUAUUUUUGAUAACAGUCUUUUAUCAGAUAUGUCUUUUGCAAAUGUUUUCUCCCAGUCUGUGGCUUGUCUUCUCAUUUUCUUGAAAGUCUGCCUUUUUAAAAGAGUUAGCCAGGUUUGAGGCCAAUUUGUUGAGAAGAAGCACAUGUCCAGGCAUUUUCUAGUAACAAUACAGAAUUCUAAGAAUAGAAGGAAAAAUAUUUUUCUAAGUGCCUCUAGGCAGAAAGAAUUAGGAAAGAGUCAGCUCUGCUGUGGACUUCACAUGUGACACAGCUGAUCAUCCAUCCUCCUUGAUAUUCCUAUCAUGGUUCCUGCAUGUUUGCCUGUUUAGUGUCCUUCCUUUAUCAUGGCUCUUUUCCCUUAACAAAUCUUUGUAUACUCUGGAUAUAAAUAUGUACAUCCAGACCUGACAGUUGUACUUCUAGGAACUGAGUCUAUAGAAAUAAAAACACUGGGAAGUAAUAACA